rnacentral:rRNA from 1 species
UACGUAGGGUGCAAGCGUUAAUCGGAAUUACUGGGCGUAAAGCGUGCGCAGGCGGUUGUGCAAGACCGAUGUGAAAUCCCCGGGCUUAACCUGGGAAUGGCAUUGGUGACUGCACGGCUAGAGUGUGUCAGAGGGGGGGUAGAAUUCCACGUGUAGCAGUGAAAUGCGUAGAGAUGUGGAGGAAUACCGAUGGCGAAGGCAGCCCCCCUGGGAUAACACUGACGCUCAUGCACGAAAGCGUGGGGGAGCAAACAGG